UACGUAGGAUGCAAGCGUUGUCCGGAAUUAUUGGGCGUAAAGAGUUCGUAGGCGGUUUGUUAAGUCUGGUGUUAAAGACGGGAGCUCAACUCCCGCAUGGCAUUGGAUACUGGCAGGCUAGAGUGUGGUAGAGGUCUCGGGAAUUCCAGGUGUAGCGGUGAAAUGCGUAGAUAUCUGGAGGAACACCGGUGGCGAAAGCGCGAGACUGGGCCAUAACUGACGCUGAGGAACGAAAGCCAGGGGAGCAAAAGGG
rnacentral:rRNA from 1 species